rnacentral:rRNA from 1 species
GAUGAACGCUCGCGGCAGGCCUAAUACAUGCAAGUCGAAGGGCAGCACAUUUAUAGCUUUACAUAAGCUGUGGCCCGGCACAGGGGGGUGGAGCAUGUACCCAACUCUCCUUUUACUGGGAGAGUGCCCGACGAAAACUGGAUCUAUAUUCCAUAGUAUAUUACCGCGGUAUCUCUUUGAUCUUAAAGCCCUUGCCGUUUGAAAGGGGCGAUGUCGGGUUAGCUAGUUGGCGGGGUAAAGGCCCACCAAGGCGACGAUCCGUAGCUGGUCUGAGAGGAUGAUCAGCCACACUGGAACUGAGACACGGUCCAGACUCCUACGGGAGGCAGCAGUGGGGAAUAUUGGACAAUGGGCGCAAGCCUGAUCCAGCCAUACCGCGUGGGUGAAGAAGGCCUUCGGGUUGUAAAGCCCUUUUGUUGGGAAAGAAAAGCAGCAGGUUAAUACCCCGCUGUUCUGACGGUACCCAAAGAAUAAGCACCGGCUAACUUCGUG